rnacentral:lncRNA from 1 species
GCAAACUUGUUCAAACUCAUUUUGGCUGUUAUGCUCUGCUUCUCCAAUAUCGGAGAUCUCUCCACGCCAGUCAGGGUACCAUCCAUGUGGAACAUGAGGGCCCUUCUCUUUGCUUGCAGAGGAGGCUUGUUGGGAGCAAGCUCCCUGGGUUCCCAAGAAGGUCGUGUUUCGCUGAGGCUGUGAACUCUCAAACUCUGCAUUCCUGCUGUGCAUCACAGCCUGCUUUACGAGGUUGUUUGCUGAGAACACAAGUGUUGCAGUUUGUCUGAACAAAGAGGAACUAUAACUUCUAGAGGAGCCCUUUCCUCCUUAUAGCUGCUGUAUCUAUAGUCACAUCUACCUGUGCUGUCUUUUGUAGCCUUCUGCUCUUAAAGGGAAAGCAGCAAAAGCAGUUUUCGGUCUUGCUGAAGACUGCUGGGACACUACUUUGAAGAAGAAAGAAAGAAAGAAAAUCCAAUGAACUAUUGUGGUGGUCUGAUGCGCUGUAUUUGGAGUAUGGUGCUCAUCUUUUCACCCAUUUUUCUAAGAAUGUCUGUAGGUCUAACACUGUCUCUGCCCUCCGCCCGUCAACAGAAGAUUCUUUUGCUCAUGCUUCUCUUCCUCAGAAAGACAGGAUGUUGUGACCUGAGCUUUGUUAUUAUUCCCCAGAGGCACCUGUGACAAGCGAAGAAACAUCAGAUAUUGGUA